CAGGCCCUUAAAGCCUCUGGGAGCUCUUCGUCUAAAAGAAAGACAAGCAAACACUGUGGUUUCCAACUUUCCCGGGCUAGCGGACGGACCAAGGGCAGCUGGUACAGAGCAAACGUCAGUGUUUGCACUGCGGUUUCACUCUCCCACCCCCCACCGCCGGGGGGGAACGCGGCCUUGAUAGUUCCGGUAGGAACCUCGUAGGGGCAAAACUUCUCCCUCCGCACCUGCAGGAGAAGUCUCCAAACCUUCCGACGCAACCUCCAUUAAAGACCGCCUCCUCCCUGGCUCUAGACCCCACUUACAAAGAAGGAAAAAACUCCCUACAGCCUUGGGAUAGUUGUCAAUACCCCUCCCCUCCAUCUUGACAGUGUACUGUUCUUUAAUAAAAUGCUUUGUGCUUGCUACAUUCCGUCUUUAUUCGAGAGAGGAUCCUCACAGACAUUUUUUGAGGGGAAUCCAAGAACCGACACUUUCAUUGACACAAUGCAAGCUUCCAUCAGUAACAUCUUUUGGUGCCAUGACUCCAAUCACACAAGAUAUCCUCACGUGCCCCCCCCCUUCCCUUUCUGGAAAGAUGGUCUCAAUCACCUUCUGAAACUUAAUCCAAGACAGGUUCAACUUAAGCUCUUACUGCAACAAGGAUAUCAGCCCCUAUCAAGUGAAUAUCAAAACUACCAUAGCCCCUGGACCGAACGAGUCAAGCCUUCUGAGACCUGGACACAAGCCCCACUCCACCUUAACCUCAUACCACCUCCUAAUGCCCUAGACAGAUAGCAAAGAUUGGGACUCUGACGAAAACACUGCCCCUGUUCAGCAGGAAGGACUACGGAAGCUUGACUUCCGCCCUCAACCUUAAAGACUUCAGAGUCCCAAGUCCUUAAAGGGGGAAUGAUACAGAAGGCUGUUACAUACUAGCUGGAGGCAAGUGCGGCCAUAAAUGGGUUACAUUUAGA